rfam:Clostridium sp. CAG:58 genomic scaffold, scf98
GGAGAAAUACUCAAGAGGCCGAAGAGGCGCCCCUGCUAAGGGUGUAGGUCGGGAAACCGGCGCGAGGGUUCAAAUCCCUCUUUCUCCG